rnacentral:tRNA from 1 species
GGGCUGGGGCUCAGAGGAAAAGUGUCGCCUAGCAUGCGUGAGGCCCUGGGUUCAAUCCUCAGCACCACG